UGAAAAUCGUUGCGUAAGAGGAGUAAGCAAGGAUUAGGUCGUUCAAAGAGAGCUAGUGAUGCUGGGAUGCUAGCACGAUCUACCCUGCUGAAUGGACUUACAAGAGGUUUCUUGAAAUAAGUAGUAGGGAAACACGGAGUUCCGCCGUUACACGGAUAGAAUAUCGGAUUGUAUUAGAUCCCGUAUUCGAACAAAGAUAAAAGCAUUUGCUUUUCAACAGAGGUGGCACCGCGGUCCCAUAAUCGUCCUCUAU
rnacentral:ncRNA from 1 species